rnacentral:rRNA from 1 species
UCUCAGUUCGGAUUGUAGGCUGAAACUCGCCUACAUGAAGCUGGAGUUGCUAGUAAUCGCGAAUCAGCAUGUCGCGGUGAAUACGUUCCCGGGCCUUGUACACACCGCCCGUCACGCCAUGGAAGUUGGGGGUGCCCAAAGCCGGCAAGCAAAUAUGCUGUCUAAGGCAAAACCAAUGACUGGGGUGAAGUCGUAACAAGGUACC